rnacentral:pre_miRNA from 1 species
UAGGUAGUAUCAUGUUGUUGGGUAUUUACAACAUCCUCGACAACGCGUCACUGCCUUCA